CGACCGGCGCACGGGUGAGUAACGCGUAUCCAACCUGCCCACCACCUGGGGAUAACCUUGCGAAAGUAAGACUAAUACCCAAUGAUAUCUCUAGAAGACAUCUGAAAGAGAUUAAAGAUUUAUCGGUGAUGGAUGGGGAUGCGUCUGAUUAGCUUGUUGGCGGGGUAACGGCCCACCAAGGCAACGAUCAGUAGGGGUUCUGAGAGGAAGGUCCCCCACAUUGGAACUGAGACACGGUCCAA
rnacentral:rRNA from 1 species